GACGAACGCUGGCGGCGUGCUUAACACAUGCAAGUCGAGCGGUAAGGCCCUUUCGGGGGUACACGAGCGGCGAACGGGUGAGUAACACGUGGGUGACCUGCCCUUAGCUCUGGGAUAAGCCUGGGAAACUGGGUCUAAUACCGGAUAUGACUCCAUGACGCAUGUUGUGGGGUGGAAAGCCUUGUGCGGCUAGGGAUGGGCCCGCGGCCUAUCAGCUUGUUGGUGGGGUGAUGGCCUACCAAGGCGACGACGGGUAGCCGGCCUGAGAGGGCGACCGGCCACACUGGGACUGAGACACGGCCCAGACUCCUACGGGAGGCAGCAGUGGGGAACCUUGCGCAAUGGGCGAAAGCCUGACGCAGCGACGCCGCGUGGGGAUGACGGCCU
rnacentral:rRNA from 1 species